GGGCCCGUAGCUCAGUUGGUAGAGCAGCGGACUUUUAAUCCGUAGGUCAUAGGUUCGAAUCCUAUCGGGCUCA
rnacentral:tRNA from 1 species